UGAUAAGCUCCAAUCGUGUCC
ensembl:piRNA 21ur-1307 ncRNA